rnacentral:rRNA from 1 species
GACGAACGCUGGCGGCGUGCCUAAUACAUGCAAGUCGAACGCAGUGGGGACGGGUGAGUAACACGUGGGUAACCUCCCAUCAGAGGGGAUAACACUUGGAAACAGGUGCUAAACCGAUACUGAUGGAUGGACCCGGGGGGCAGUAGCGAGUUGGUGGGGUAACGGCUCACCAAGGCCACGAUGCAUAGCCGGCCGGAGAGGGUGAACGGCCACACUGUAACUGAGACACGGCCCAGACUCCUACGGGAGGCAGCAGUAGGGAAUCUUCCGCAAUGGGCGAAAGUCUGACCGAGCAACGCCGCGUGAGUGAAGAAGGUUUUCGGAUCGUAAAGCACUGUUGUUAGGGAGGCGGUAUCUAACCAGAAAGCCACGGCUAACUACGUGCCAGCAGCCGCGGUAAUAC